rnacentral:rRNA from 1 species
AUACGGAGGUUGCAAGCGUUGUUCGGAAUCACUGGGCGUAAAGGGCGCGCAGGCAGUUUGGUAAGUCAGAUGUGAAAGCCCACGGCUCAACCGUGGAAGUGCAUUUGAAACUGCCAGACUUGAGUACCAGAGGGGAAAGUGGAAUUCCCGGUGUAGAGGUGAAAUUCGUAGAUAUCGGGAGGAAUACCGGUGGCGAAGGCGACUUUCUGGCUGGAUACUGACGCUGAGGCGCGAAAGCGUGGGGAGCAAACAGGAUUAGAUACCCUAGUAGUCC